GGGCUUCUCUCCCCGCGGGUCAGCAGGGCACCGCCUCCACACCCCAGCCUGCCCUCCUAGGGACAGAAAUCUCCAAAACCCACGUCCUACACGGCCAGGCUGCUGAAGCACCCUGGAUGCCUACUGUGUACCAGCGCUACUGUUUCUUUUUGCUGGGAUUCAGCUCUGCUAUCACAAAGAUAGUGAAGGUCCCUGCUAACAGCUCUCCGUGGUCUACUGGAGGCCUGGGUCACAUGCGUAAGUGCUCCUGGGCAGGCAGCAGCAUUCUAAACUUCAGUGAGGAAGGAUAUCUUCAUAGAAUUUGAGCUGGACCUUUUGGAAAAAGUAAAAUUUUGCCAGGGACAGCGUCUACAGGGUCUGGAGCAAUCAUGACUCACUAGCUUUGACCUCCUGGGCUCAAUCGAUCCUCCAGCCUCAGCCUCCUGAGCAGCUGGGACUACAGGUGUGUGCC
rnacentral:lncRNA from 1 species